UUUUAACUCUUAUUUUAUUUUUCUAUUUUGUUUUUAAUUCUAAAAAAUAUAUUUUUUUAAAAGUACCAAAAAAUACUUUUCAUAUUUCUUAAUGUUUUAUUUUAUUUUAUUUAAUUUUUAUUUUCAUAUUUAUUUAAUGUUAAUAUUUUAUUUCAAUUAUUUAUUUCAAGUGGAUCAUUUUGAUAUACAUUUAUUUAUUAAUUUUAUUUUCAUGACUUAGAAUUGUUUUUAGGUUCUGAUUUUUGGGAUGAGGGUUG
rnacentral:lncRNA from 1 species